UAUAUAUGCCUAUCCUUUCCUGCAUUCACGUGAAUUGUGGUUCAAUUGAAACAAGCCAUUUUGGUUUAUGUUGUUGUCUUAGUUGCUGGAAUGAGACCAUAUAUAAUAUUGAUUCCUUAACGCUUUGACUGACUAAAAGUUGAUUAAUUGUGGCAAAGGCUUUUUCUUUAUUAAUAAGAAUCUGAUGCAAUUAUUAAUUGUAGACAAUGAAAGAUAAUUAUAAUCCUGAACUGUUACGGUUACUAUGUCUAUGUUUCUAUUGCCAGUGUGAUAUCAGCUUCCUAGACGUUACAAGUUUACAAUUAUAAGCAGUGCUGCCAUUAAAGCCUUCGGCCCUGCAAUUUGGAAAAGGUGGAAAGAUUAUUUUAGAUGUGUGAUGUCCUGAUAGUCCAGGAGGCAGUGUUGAAACUGAAGGAGCAUUACAUUAAUCAUCAAAAACACUUGGUUUCUGUGGCAAAAUAUAGCACAUGACCAAAGAGUGUUACACCUUGAAUGAUAAGAACUGCCCUAACUGCCAUGGCCAGAUUUGGAAAUGGCAGAAACGAAGUUCCCAUUUUAUAGUGACUACUGAUCGAUAGUUUCAUAUAUAAUAUGAUACUUGAGACAAAUGAAGCGCUACAUACCCAUGUCACUUUUCAUUUUUUGUCUAAUAAUUGGGAUGGCUAUGGCAAUUACAUGGUGCCAGAGUGAAAAGGGCGAAGAUUGGCCCAAGAUAUGAUAUGCCAAAUCAAAAUCAUUCAAUUCCCUCUCAGGUGAUUUUCUGCAAAAUCUAGUGCCCUGUUGUCAUUGUUAAUCAAAUAUUGAUUAUGUAUGUGCUUGUACUGGAGGUAAGCAUGGUCCCAUAUAUGGCUGACCAACAGGGGAACAUUUUUUAUUUUAGAGUGCCAUUGCUUAUGACGUUUUGAAUUAGUGUCUUGUAACUUGGUUAGCAUGCUCUGUUUCUUUUCCAAAUGUAGUGAAUUUCUAUGCCAGUGCUUUGCUAAUGUUUGGCUGAAGAUAAACAAUGGAGGUACUAGCAUUGAAUUUCUACUUUCCACUUUUAUGUGCCAACUUCUGGAUCCUCUUUUGAUCAAAGGCUCAAAGCAUCUCUGGUUGUUAUGCAAUACUGCCAGCCUGCAACUGAAGGAGCAAUAAAGUCAAUGGCAAUAACUUCAGAGUUAUGUGGGGAAAACAGAUGGCAUAUGGCUAACAAUAUUGCACCUUCAUAUGGACCCGUGAGAUUCUUAAUUUCCAGUUUCCAGGUCAUCAGUUGCAUAUAUUUACUUCUAAUUAUGGAUGUAGGUUAUGGAGAGCACCUGUGGAUUCACUUACUCCUACAAUAGUAGACAUGCUCAGUGAAUAAGCUAAAGUAAAUCAAAGCAGGUCCUGAGCCUUUGUUCUCUGUUAAUUAUAUGCAGCAUCUCAGCAAGGAAAAUUUCUAUUCUAGGUCAACUUUAGGCUAUUGUUGAUGCAGCUUCUGCUAGCAUCCUCAUUAUCACCACAAAGUGUUCUUCAAGACUUGAUUGGUUUCAACAUUUCACUAAAUGUUGUUAGAAAACUAGUUUUGUUGAUGUAAUGACUUUGUUGGAUAUAUGGAUGAAUGUAUCGGAUUUUUACAUGAA